CCCCCGGUAGCUCAAUUGGUAGUAGCGCCUGUUUGAAGCACAGGAGGUAGUCAGUAUCUCCCUUCGGGAGACGCUUCGCUAACGAUUCUGACCUGGGGGG
rnacentral:tRNA from 1 species